rnacentral:rRNA from 1 species
CAUGCAAGUCGAGCGGUAGAGAGAAGCUUGCUUCUCUUGAGAGCGGCGGACGGGUGAGUAAUGCCUAGGAAUCUGCCUGGUAGUGGGGGAUAACGUUCGGAAACGGACGCUAAUACCGCAUACGUCCUACGGGAGAAAGCAGGGGACCUUCGGGCCUUGCGCUAUCAGAUGAGCCUAGGUCGGAUUAGCUAGUUGGUGGGGUAAUGGCUCACCAAGGCGACGAUCCGUAACUGGUCUGAGAGGAUGAUCAGUCACACUGGAACUGAGACACGGUCCAGACUCCUACGGGAGGCAGCAGUGGGGAAUAUUGGACAAUGGGCGAAAGCCUGAUCCAGCCAUGCCGCGUGUGUGAAGAAGGUCUUCGGAUUGUAAAGCACUUUAAGUUGGGAGGAAGGGUUGUAGAUUAAUACUCUGCAAUUUUGACGUUACCGACAGAAUAAGCACCGGCUAACUCUGUGCCAGCAGCCGCGGUAAUACAGAGGGUGCAAGCGUUAAUCGGAAUUACUGGGCGUAAAGCGCGCGUAGGUGGUUAGUUAAGUUGGAUGUGAAAUCCCCGGGCUCAACCUGGGAACUGCAUUCAAAACUGACUGACUAGAGUAUGGUAGAGGGUGGUGGAAUUUCCUGUGUAGCGGUGAAAUGCGUA